UACGUAGGGGCCGAGCGUUGUCCGGAGUUAUUGGGCGUAAAGCGCGCGCAGGCGGCCUCGCGCGCCCGACGUGAAAGCCCCCGGCUUAACCGGGGAGGGUCGUUGGGGACGGCGGGGCUUGAGGGCGGGAGAGGUCGGUGGAAUUCCCGGUGUAGUGGUGAAAUGCGUAGAGAUCGGGAGGAACACCUGUGGCGAAGGCGGCCGACUGGGCCGACCCUGACGCUGAGGAGCGAAAGUGUGGGGAGCGAACAGG
rnacentral:rRNA from 1 species